rnacentral:rRNA from 1 species
GAUGAACGCUAGCGGCAGGCUUAAUACAUGCAAGUCGAGGGGCAGCAGUUUUGUAGCAAUACAGAAGCUGGCGACCGGCAAACGGGUGCGGAACACGUACGCAACCUUCCUUUAACUGGAAGAUAGCCCACCGACAGGUGGAUUAAUACUCCAUAACAUAUUGAAGAGGCAUCUCUUUGAUAUUAAAGCUCCGGCGGUUAAAGAUGGGCGUGCGUUUGAUUGUGUAGUGUGCGGGGUAACGGCCCACCAAGCCUUCGAUCAGUAGCUGAUGUCAGGGCCUGAUCAUCCACUCGAGCACGGAGACGCGAGCCCGACUCCUACCGGAGUGAACGGUAAGGAAUGUUGGGCAAUGGACGGAACGCUGAACUGGCCUUGCCACGUUGAGGCUGAGGGUCCUCUGGGUUUUAAACUUCUCAUAUAAGUGAAUAAAGCCCGGUUAGUAAGGGUGCUGGCGGUACCAGAGAAAUAAGCACCGGCUAACUCCCUGCAAGCAGCCGCAGUAAUAC